rnacentral:rRNA from 1 species
AGUAAACGUUGGCGGCGUGCCUAACACAUGCAAGUUGUACGAUCCUUUAAGUGGCUUGCCAUUUAAGAAGAGUGGCGAACGGGUGAGUAACACGUGAGUAAUCUGCCCCUAAGUGAGGAAUAACCCCACGAAAGUGGGGCUAAUACCGCAUGAUACUCUGCUUCAUAAGUUGUCAGAGUCAAAGCCUUCGGGCGCUUGAGGAUGAGCCCGCGUCCUAUUAGCUAGUUGGUGGGGUAACGGCCUACCAAGGUAAUAAUGGGUAGCCGGCCUGAGAGGGUGUACGGCCACACUGGGACUGCGACACGGCCCAGACUCCUACGGGAGGCAGCAGUGGGGAAUUUUGCGCAAUGGGCGAAAGCCUGACGCAGCGACGCCGCGUGGAGGAAGAAGGUUUUCGGAUUGUAAACUCCUGUCAGAGGAGAAGAAACGCCCUAGGGGGUUUGACGGUAUCCUCAGAGGAAGCCCCGGCUAACUACGUG